GGCUGUAUCUCAGUGGUAGAGCGCUUGCCUAGCAUGUGUGAGGCACUGGGUUCCAUCCUCAGCACCA
rnacentral:tRNA from 1 species